CACGAAGGCCUCAAUUUCCGUCGUAUAAGAUCAGAAAUCGUUCUUUUGCUUGUGAGACCGUCGAUCGCUGGUCUCACAUGCAUCUGCAUGCUGUGGUGACGUCAACGGCGUUAGCGGUAAUUUUUUCCCUAAACAGCUAGAACAUCAAAGCGAUACUACAUAAAGAAGCUUGUUUUAGCUUGCAUUCACACUGACGCACUGAGCGCCAAACUUGUUCAUCGAUCUUGCUGUCUAUUUGGGACCAGAGAAGACAACAUUAUACAGGAUGAGAACGAAAGAAAGCAAGAAUGAAGAAAUUUGGAUACGGGGGAAUAAAUAACAAGGGGAAUGUAGAUUGCUUUAUGGUCUACUCUAGUUUGCUAUCGGUGUAUUAGUACUACUCUUCUUUCUUAUUAUAGACAUUAAUAAAUGCUUUCAUAUCA